UCUAGUUUCAUAAAGAGACAUACCACGACAACACCUCAUCACUUCCUCUAGCUACAUCUUGAUCACCACUCCUCCCUCUGUCUCAAAUAUUCUCACAAGUUUGCACCUUCGUCGGAGUACGAAGAUGUCGACGGAGUUCCCUUAACACACCACAAGAACCUCGUGUCGCCACUGCAAUCCAUCGUCGUAGACUCGGGACUCACCGGAGCACAAGCCGGAACAAGUAAGACCUACCGGAAAACUCGAAGGCGUCACCGGAGCUCGACGACAACACCACGACGAGUAUUGAUACUCCACAGUUGCGAAAGGGGUUACCCAUUUGGUUAAAUGAAAAAAGUUAACCGCUCUUGUUCGUUCUUUUGGAAUUUCCCAAUCUUACUCGUGUGUUACUUACAAGAAAUCGCAUACGCAAUCAAAGAUUUUGAUGAUGCAAGGAAUCUAGUAGGAUUGCCUAGAAACACAUUUAAACUUUAAUACUUGUUGUACUGUAUUUUAUUUUCAAACAUGUUGUAUUUUGUUUCCAAGCCUUG
rnacentral:lncRNA from 1 species